rnacentral:rRNA from 1 species
GGGGAUAACAUUUGGAAACAGAUGCUAAUACCGCAUAACAACAAAAGCUGCAUGGCUUUUGUUUGAAAGAUGGCUUUGGCUAUCACUCUGGGAUGGACCUGCGGUGCAUUAGCUAGUUGGUAAGGUAACGGCUUACCAAGGCGAUGAUGCAUAGCCGAGUUGAGAGACUGAUCGGCCACAAUGGAACUGAGACACGGUCCAUACUCCUACGGGAGGCAGCAGUAGGGAAUCUUCCACAAUGGGCGCAAGCCUGAUGGAGCAACACCGCGUGAGUGAAGAAGGGUUUCGGCUCGUAAAGCUCUGUUGUUGGAGAAGAACGUGCGUGAGAGUAACUGUUCACGCAGUGACGGUAUCCAACCAGAAAGUCACGGCUAACUACGUGCCAGCAGCCGCGGUAAUACGUAGGUGGCAAGCGUUAUCCGGAUUUAUUGGGCGUAAAGCGAGCGCAGGCGGUUGCUUAGGUCUGAUGUGAAAGCCUUCGGCUUAACCGAAGAAGUGCAUCGGAAACCGGGCGACUUGAGUGCAGAAGAGGACAGUGGAACUCCAUGUGUAGCGGUGGAAUGCGUAGAUAUAUGGAAGAACACCAGUGGCGAAGGCGGCUGUCUGGUCUGCAACUGACGCUGAGGCUCGAAAGCAUGGGUAGCGAACAGGAUUAGAUACCCUGGUAGUCCAUGCCGUAAACG